CCUACGGGGGGCAGCAGUGAGGAAUAUUGGUCAAUGGACGAGAGUCUGAACCAGCCAAGUAGCGUGAAGGAUGACUGCCCUAUGGGUUGUAAACUUCUUUUAUAAAGGAAUAAAACGAGGCACGUGUGCCUUUUUGCAUGUACUUUAUGAAUAAGGAUCGGCUAACUCCGUGCCAGCAGCCGCGGUAAUACGGAGGAUCCGAGCGUUAUCCGGAUUUAUUGGGUGUAAAGGGAGCGUAGAUGGGUUGUUAAGUCAGUUGUGAAAGUUUGCGGCUCAACCGUAAAAUUGCAAUUGAUACUGGCAGUCGUGAGUACAGUUGAGGUAAGCGGAAUUCGUGGUGUAGCGGUGAAAUGCUUAGAUAUCACGAAGAACCCCGAUUGCGAAGGCAGCUUACUAAACUGUGACUGACAUUGAUGCUCGAAAGUGUGGGUAUCAAACAGGAUUAGAUACCCUAGUAGUC
rnacentral:rRNA from 1 species